rnacentral:lncRNA from 1 species
GCAAAUUAGAGUUAGCGCGCUGCUUUUAGAGGAAGGUACCCUGGUGAGAACAGAAGCUUCUCAAGUAUCUUGGGCUGCCUCCCACAGCAGAAGCAGUCUUUUGCUUACCUUGUGGCAACUACCCACCCUGAUAUUUUUAAUCAGUAAAAAAAAAAAAAAAAAAAAAAAAAGAAAUGGAGUUGAUCUGCAUUUGCCUUGCAGCUAAUACCUUCUGAGCUGGGAGACUGGGAGAGACAUGAGACGGGUAGUAUUCAUUAUUUAUAGCCAUUCCUAUAGUGCUUAUCACCACAGUGUCUAUAAGUGAGUGCCAUCGACAAAGCUCUAAAUGUGAGAAAAUUUAAUAAUGCAUUAAUAAUAACGUGCACUUGUCUGUGGUGGCAGCAGUUGCGGUUGAGAUGACUUAAAGAGGGAAGGAGAGGGAACUGCCAGAGCUGUGCGGAGGAGGCAGCGGCGAGCCUGGGAGGCCCAUGGCCCCGCAGGAGGAGCGGCCAGCCAGGAGGCCCCGGGGUCUGCCCAAGGGCCAGGGCAACAACGGGCACGGGGACAGGGUUGGCAGCUUCACCAAAUAUAAUGUGCUGAAAGGGCAUAUUCAGAAGGGAGCAGGAACGUACUUGAACUUAAUUAUUAAAGGCUUCCCAUGCUGCUCUGCCAUAUGCAUAUGGACACAUGUAGAGGCCUGCUUGGCUCACGCUCUGAGCUCUGUUCCUUUCUUCUGCCUCUGGCCUGGAAAAAGGAGUUGAGACCCCUCUGUAUUAGCAGUAAGCUGGUGCUGAUGAGGCAGCGUGGAGAAUGGAGGACAGUCACAAGCAGAGGAAGAAGCAGAUGCAUCUGAGGCAGUGCAGUUUACAGUCAGAUCUACAACCAGAUUGAUUCAUUUUCUCAUUCAUCACUUCAGGAAGAGAAAUAUCUUCCACUGCUACCACCUGCCCAUGGCUUAUCAUUCAGUUGUGUGACCCCCCCAAAUUGAAAAAAUAGCAGGUGCAGCUUUGACAAUACAUAUUAAAAGGAAUGACAGGAGUUGAGAAACAAGGCAGCAAUUUCUGCAGAUACAAGUCAGG